GGGGAUGAUAUAGGAUUCGAGGAAAAGACUCGUAUGCCAUAUAUGCUGUGUUGGGGCGGCUCGCCUCGUUAUCAAAGGGCAAUAAACAGAUGCUAAUACAUCACCUCUCGCUCGACUCGCAGCUUCUUUCAAGAAGUCUAUGACUCCUGCGUUCGCUAUCGCUGCUUAAUUGCUCCAAUAGUGUAGUCUCCGCCUAGGCGGAUGAGUGCCGGAUGGCCUACUACAACUUUUACCACUUGAAACUGAUAGAGUGGUAUCAUAUUUAUGAGUUUUACCUUUGCCUCGUUGACACAAUUCUCGCAAAGAGUUCAUAUGGAGAUCGUGUUUUUCUGAGAGAUUUUUGCUCAUUCUCUAUUCUCAGAUAUACUAGAACUGAGCUAUACACAGUAGAUAUAUACGACAUACCUUUUUCGACGCGGGGGCGGUGCCCGCCAUCUCCACCA
rnacentral:tmRNA from 1 species